UACGGGGGGGGCAAGCGUUGUUCGGAAUUACUGGGCGUAAAGGGCUCGUAGGUGGCCAACUAAGUCAGACGUGAAAUCCCUCGGCUUAACCGUGGGCUUGCAGCCGAUACGGGCAGGCUAGAGUUCGGUAGGGGAGACUGGAAUUCCUGGUGUAGCGGUGAAAUGCGCAGAUAUCAGGAGGAACACCGGUGGCGAAGGCGGGUCUCUGGGCCGAUACCGACGCUGAGGAGCGAAAGCGUGGGGAGCAAACAGG
rnacentral:rRNA from 1 species